rnacentral:rRNA from 1 species
AGCGAACGCUGGCGGCAGGCUUAACACAUGCAAGUCGAGCGGGCAUCCUUGUGGUGUCAGCGGCAGACGGGUGAGUAACGCGUGGGAACGUGCCCUUCGGUUCAGAAUAACUCAGGGAAACUUGAGCUAAUACCGGAUACGUGCGAGAGCAGAAAGGUUUAUCUGCCGAAGGAUCGGCCCGCGUCUGAUUAGCUAGUUGGUGAGGUUACGGCUCACCAAGGCGACGAUCAGUAGCUGGUCUGAGAGGAUGAUCAGCCACACUGGGACUGAGACACGGCCCAGACUCCUACGGGAGGCAGCAGUGGGGAAUAUUGGACAAUGGGGGCAACCCUGAUCCAGCCAUGCCGCGUGAGUGAUGACGGCCUUAGGGUUGUAAAGCUCUUUUCUCCGGGACGAUAAUGACGGUACCGGAGGAAUAAGCCCCGGCUAACUUCGUG